GCGCCCGUAGCUCAGCCUGGAUAGAGCGACUGCCUCCUAAGCAGUAGAUCCGGGGUUCGAAUCCUCGCGGGCGCG
rnacentral:tRNA from 1 species